rnacentral:rRNA from 1 species
AGAGUUUGAUCAUGGCUCAGAUUGAACGUUGGCGGCAGGCCUAAAACAUGCAAGUCGAACGGUAACAGCGGAAGCUUGCUUCCGGCUGACGAGUGGCGGACGGGUGAGUAACACGUAGGAAUCUACCUAAUAGUGGGGGACAACCCGGGGAAACCCGGGCUAAUACCGCAUACGCUCUACGGAGGAAAGCAGGGGAUCUUCGGACCUUGCGCUAUUGGAGGAGCCUGCGUCGGAUUAGCUAGUUGGUGGGGUAAAGGCCUACCAAGGCGACGAUCCGUAGCUGGUCUGAGAGGACGAUCAGCCACACUGGAACUGAGACACGGUCCAGACUCCUACGGGAGGCAGCAGUUAGGAAUCUUGGGCAAUGGGCGCAAGCCUGACCCAGCCAUGCCGCGUGUGUGAAGAAGGCCUUCGGGUUGUAAAGCACUUUCAGCGGUGAAGAAAAGCUCAGGGCUAAUACCCUUGAGUCUUGACGUUAACCACAGAAGAAGCACCGGCUAACUCCGUGCCAGCAGCCGCGGUAAUACGGAGGGUGCGAACGUUAAUCGGAAUCACUGGGCGUAAAGCGCGCGUAGGCGGUCUGUUAAGUGGGAUGUGAAAUCCCCGGGCUUAACCUGGGAAUUGCAUUUCAAACUGGCCGACUAGAGUACGGUAGAGGGAGGUAGAAUUUCCUGUGUAGCGGUGAAAUGCGUAGAUAUAGGAAGGAAUACCAGUGGCGAAGGCGGCCUCCUGGAUCGAUACUGACGCUGAGGCGCGAAAGCGUGGGGAGCAAACAGGAUUAGAUACCCUAGUAGUCC